GUGUCAGCCGCCGCGGUAAUACGUAGGGUGCGAGCGUUAAUCGGAAUUACUGGGCGUAAAGCGUGCGCAGGCGGUUGUGCAAGACAGGCGUGAAAUCCCCGGGCUUAACCUGGGAACUGCGCUUGUGACUGCACGGCUAGAGUACGGCAGAGGGGGGUGGAAUUCCACGUGUAGCAGUGAAAUGCGUAGAGAUGUGGAGGAACACCGAUGGCGAAGGCAGCCCCCUGGGCCAGUACUGACGCUCAUGCACGAAAGCGUGGGGAGCAAACAGGAUUAGAAACCCUAGUAGUCC
rnacentral:rRNA from 1 species